CCGCGCGGGGCCGGGGGCCGCCCGCUCGCGGGGAAAGCGCAGCGCCCGCAGCGCGGGGGGCGGCGCGGGGCCGCUGCCGGGAGUUCCGCGGGAGCCCUCGGAAGGGCCCUCCCCCGCCGCCCCCCUCCAAAAAAGAAAAAAAAAAAAAAAAAAAAAAAAAAAAAAAGGGGGAAAAAAAAAAAAAAAAAAAAAAAAAAAAAAGCCUCCCAAAGUGCUACUGGCGGUGCGGCGAGUGCCGGCGCGGCCAUGGGGUGGCAGCAGCAGCCCCUCCUUCCCGGCUCGCAGCGGAGCGCAUUCAAUCCAACGCGGCGCUCGUGUAGAAGCACUGGGAUCGUUCGUGCACUGCAGUUUCUCUCGCCUCUCUCCCUCUCUUCCUUCUCCGCUCCUUAGGAUAUUUUGGGUGGAUUGUGGUUACCCAUCGGGAUCUCCUGCUCGCUGCUGAUCACUUGGCAUCUCCACAGGGGAUUGGGAUCGUUCGGGGCAAGCGGACAACCGAUUUUUUUUCCCUUUCUUCUUUUCCCUCUGGAGAUUUUUCUUUUCCCUCCACUCCCCCUCCCCCGUUGGCACGGCGGUAAGGAGCCGGGAAGCACCCUCCCCCGGCGUGCCCCGCAGCAGGAAGCCCCGCCGGGCCGCCGCUCCCGGUGCUCGGUGCGCGUAGCCCGGCCCCGGCCCUCGGACGCGGCGCUGCCCCCAGGCCGGCCGCCCCUCCUCCCCCCGCCGCACCUGGAUGGUACCUCCCGCCGGCGGCGCGGGCACUUUGUGAAGUGGGAAGGAAGGGGCGACUCGGGGGGGCGGGAGGGGGGCGCCGGAGUCUGUAUGGAAUUACCUGCGCCCGCGGCGGAGCUGGCGGCGGCGGAUGGCCGGGCGCCGCGUCCCCGGCACUCGUGGCGAGCGCAGCCCCGGGACUGAACGCGGAGCUUCUCCGGCCGGGAGCGCAGCGUGGUGACCGGAUCGCACCGGAGGGACAGCGCGGAGGACUCCUGCGGGGAGCAGUGGUGAAAAGAGAGAAGAUGAAAGUUCCUGUUUCAAACUUGAUUCUCUUGUAUGCUACUCUAACUCAGAGCUUGAAGGUUGUGACCAAAAGAGGAUCAGGAUUGCUUAGCUUACUUAAAGGCUUGACUGCAGUCACUGAGCUACUGUAUGUUAAUUUCUGUUUGGGAAAAUUACAUAAUUGAUGUCCAGACAAAGAAAAGAAGACUUUUUCAGCUGUACUGAAUAUGUUCUCAUCCUCUGCUGUAAAAAAGGAAAAGCCUUAAUGGAAGUCUUUGAAUCUUACUACAACAUGGGGUUCUUUAUGGUCUUGCAUGAAUUCUGCUUUUAUAGUAUUUAGUUUCAGUCAGCUAUAUUGCCAAAAAGACUGUUUUGUCAUAGUGUAUAGUGCAAAAGAAAAAUCUGACUUUUACUGAAAUUUCAGGUUUUAAUGUCUUUCUUCAUGGCAUGUAGUGACUUUAGAUGUGGUGAACUUCUUUAAAAGUAGGUGGAAUGUAAUGCAUAGAUGAUAAUGCUUAGCCUGUUGGGUUUUUCUAAUUUAACUUUUUUCCUUGGUUGAUUGGGAGGAUUAUCUUCCAAUCCUAAAUUGUUUCUAUGAAGAAAACCUCUUCAUAUUUUUUGUUCAUGGAAGUUUUAGAAAAUAAGAUUCAUUUAUGUAUACUGUGAAAAUAUUUUUUUCUUCCAGAAGCUAAUCAAUUUACAGUUAUAAAUAAGGAAAAAAAUAUAUAGUUUAACGUGAGCAUGUUAAUCAGAGGCAGCGAAUGGUGAGGGUUAUAUAUGUUUAGUUGUGUGUAUUGCAUUCUGCCACAUGGAUCAGAAGUUUGGCUGUGGCUUACUUUAUAUAUUCGUUACUGUGUCCCUGGGAAUCUCGUUAUACAUGACUGAAGUGCGAUUUUAUUUCAAAGUUGACUUGUUCUUUCUAGUUCAUUUUUUGUUGAGCUUGUUUCUAAAUAUCAUGUCUGAAACAAAUUUAAUGUUUCUUAAAUAUUUAACUUCUGUCUUUCAUGUUUAAGAGAGAUCUGUUCUUCAAAAUACGUCUUCUCUGCACUAUUGGUUGGAUAUCUCCUACUUGGGUCAUUUUCUAUAAGGUUUUUAUCAGCUAUGCUAAAAAGAUAGUGAUUAAUGUAAGUCUGAAUUUCUCCAUCUGGUAUAAAUGCAUUUCUAAUCACUGUUCUGAUCUGUCAAAAACAUGAAAACCUACCUUCGUCAAGUCAGUGAGAAUCCAUAGUAUGCCAAAAAUGUGAAAGUAUUUGCAGGUUCAAAUUUUUUUUUUAAAUGAAUAACAAUUCUGACCACCUACUAGCUUUCAGGAUUUAAGUUUUAUCCCAUAAUUUGCUUUAUGUGUAAUCAAUUAGGAUCAAUAUGAUGUUCUUGUCUGUGCUUCUUGUUGACUGAAAAAAAAAAAACCCAAAACAACAGUAUAAGAGAAGGUUUAGAUUGUGCUGCACUGGACUAAACAUUUGGUCAUAAGAGUUGUCAUUACGCAAAACAUUUGAACGACAUUAUUUAGAGUCAGACUUUGGAUCUUUCAUAAACAGUAGAGCAAUUACAAACUUGUUCUACCACUGUGUGGUAUUCAUCAGUUAAAUGUAGUAAGUGUAUAUAGGGAAAGGUAUUAAUGAAAUAUUUAUUACGUUUUCAGUAAAACAUGUUUUAAAUUAGCUGGCUCAUAGCUGUGUGACAUACUCGUGUAACGCUUUAACUUUUAUAUUUAAUUCUGUUUCUAUCUGACAGAACGUACAUCAGUUAUUUUGGAAUUUUAAAAAAUCAGUUCUGUAAGGCAGUGAAUGAUUUCAAAUGACUCUUUAACGUAUAAUGGAUUUAUUUUACAUUUUGAGUACUUAAUAACUGUGUUAUUGCAUAAAAUGACUGGGCAAGCAGUUCGAGUAACAAUGCCAUUAAUAUAGAAAAAUUAUGCAAGAAACAUAUUCCUGUAUAUCCAAGUGUGCCAGUAAAUAAAGCUUAAACACAUCAACUUUUCCUGUCA
ensembl:lncRNA